rnacentral:rRNA from 1 species
UACAGAGGUCCCAAGCGUUGUUCGGAUUCACUGGGCGUAAAGGGCGCGUAGGCGGCACUGUUAGUCAGGCGUGAAAGUCCUGGGCUCAACCUGGGAACUGCGCUUGAUACGGCAGAGCUAGAGGAUGGAAGAGGGUCGCGGAAUUCCCAGUGUAGAGGUGAAAUUCGUAGAUAUUGGGAAGAACACCGGUGGCGAAGGCGGCGACCUGGUCCAUUACUGACGCUGAGGCGCGACAGCGUGGGGAGCAAACAGG